rnacentral:rRNA from 1 species
GACAGAGGUGCCGAGCGUUAGGCGGAAUCACUGGGCUUAAAGCGUGUGUAGGCGGACCGUUAAGUACCUUGUGAAAUCCCACGGCUCAACCGUGGAACGGCUGGGUAUACUGGCGGUCUUGGGCCACUCAGGGGCGAGCGGAACAAGUGGUGGAGCGGUGAAAUGCGUAGAUAUCAGGAAGAACACCUAUGGCGAAAGCAGCUCUCUGGGACGGUACUGACGCUGAGACGCGAAAGCGUGGGGAGCGAACAGG